rnacentral:lncRNA from 1 species
GGAGGAGGGCAGCCAAGAUGGCUGAAUAGGAACAGCUCCAGUCUACAGCUCCCAGCGUGAGCGAUGCAGAAGACGGGUGAUUUCUGCAUUUCCAUUUGAGGUACCGGGUUCAUCUCACUAGGGAGUGCCAGACAGUGGGUGCAGGACAGUGGGUGCAGUGCACCAGCCUAACCGGGAGGCACCCCCAACUAUGGGCAGACUGACACCUCACACG